AGCUCCGUUGACCUAUUGGUUAGUGUGUCUGCCUCGGAUGCGGGAUGUCACGGGUUCGAUCCUCGGCCGAGUCA